GUCUACGGCCAUGCCACCCUGAACGUGCCCGAUCUCGUCUGAUCUCGGAAGCUAAGCAGGGUCGGGCCUGGUUAGUACUUGGAUGGGAGACCACCUAGGAAGACCAGGUGCUAUAGGCA
rnacentral:rRNA from 1 species